rnacentral:tRNA from 1 species
GUUGGGUUGGCUCAGUGGGUAGAGCUAAGGGCUCGCGACCGGGAGGUCCAGGUUCGAAUCUCGUAAGAGGCG